AUUCCAGUUCCAUUAGCGUAUAUUAAAGUUGUUGCGGCCAACAAUAUCGUAGUUGGAUUUCUGCCGAGGACGACCGGUCGGCCCUGCGGGUGAGUAUCUGGGACGACGUGGGCAUAUUAUUGGAGAACGUGUCUGCACUUGACUGUGUGGUGUGGUAUCCAGGAGGUUUACUUUGAGGAAAUCAGAGUGUUUCAAGCAGGCCCACGCCUUGAAUACCUUAGCAUGGAAUAAUAAGAUAGGACCUCGGUUAUAGGUUGUUGGUUUCUAGAGCUGAUGUAAUGAUUCAUACGGAUAUGUUGGGGCAUUCGUAUUUAAUUGUCAGAGGUGAAAUUCUUGGAUUUGUUAAAGACGGAUUGCUGCGAACGCAUUUGCCCCGGAAGUUUUCAUUA
rnacentral:rRNA from 1 species